CAACUUUGGGUGGACGCAAAUAAUUGCUAUGUGGAACAGAGAACUGGACAGGGCUAGAAAAAAUUGUAUGUUGAGGGUACCUGGGCUCAAGUACCGCUUUUUCUUCAGAGAUGCAUGGACCAGGCUUAAUGUAAACAAACCCUGCUAAACUUAUGCAGCAAGAUCACGUUAUUGGAGAGCGUAAGGAGUAUGCAGCAACAACCCCCACUGAUGCUGAUCAGGUAUCCAUGACAGUGCAGUUUCUAGAAGCCACACAAUCCCUGUUUGAAUUUGGAAUUUUGAGUCAUGAAAAGAUUUUGGAUGCAUCCAGCUCAGUACUAACUAACAUGGAGGAUGUAUUCCUGUUUUUUGUAGCAUGAGCGGACUACUGUUGUAGCGAAGGUCAUAACCUUGCCACACCUGCACAAACAGUCUUUUUGGCAUUUCAGGUACAAAGUAUAGGCACUGUUUUGAAUAACUAUUUA